AUAGAAUAACCUGGGGAUGUUGUUAAAAUGUAGAUUCUGAUUCAGGAUGUCCGCAGUGGUGCCUAAGGCUCUGCACCUUUAACCAGUUCCUGGGUGAAGCUGGU
rnacentral:pre_miRNA from 1 species